rnacentral:rRNA from 1 species
GAUGAACGCUGGCGGCGUGCCUAAUACAUGCAAGUCGAGCGAACAGACGAGGAGCUUGCUCCUCUGACGUUAGCGGCGGACGGGUGAGUAACACGUGGAUAACCUACCUAUAAGACUGGGAUAACUUCGGGAAACCGGAGCUAAUACCGGAUAAUAUAUUGAACCGCAUGGUUCAAUAGUGAAAGACGGUUUUGCUGCCACUUAUAGAUGGAUCCGCGCCGCAUUAGCUAGUUGGUAAGGUAACGGCUUACCAAGGCAACGAUGCGUAGCCGACCUGAGAGGGUGAUCGGCCACACUGGAACUGAGACACGGUCCAGACUCCUACGGGAGGCAGCAGUAGGGAAUCUUCCGCAAUGGGCGAAAGCCUGACGGAGCAACGCCGCGUGAGUGAUGAAGGUCUUCGGAUCGUAAAACUCUGUUACUAGGGAAGAACAAAUGUGUAAGUAACUAUGCACGUCUUGACGGUACCUAAUCAGAAAGCCACGGCUAACUACGUG